rnacentral:rRNA from 1 species
UACGUAGGGUGCAAGCGUUAAUCGGAAUUACUGGGCGUAAAGCGUGCGCAGGCGGUUUUGUAAGUCUGUCGUGAAAUCCCCGGGCUCAACCUGGGAAUUGCGAUGGAGACUGCAAGGGUAGAAUCUGGCAGAGGGGGGUAGAAUUCCACGUGUAGCAGUGAAAUGCGUAGAGAUGUGGAGGAACACCGAUGGCGAAGGCAGCCCCCUGGGUCAAGAUUGACGCUCAUGCACGAAAGCGUGGGGAGCAAACAGG